UCGCGGCGGUGUGCGCAGAAGGGUCUGGCUCGAGCCUGCCUGGAGCCGCCGCCGGUGCAGAUCUUGGUGGUAGUAGCAAAUACUCCAGCGAGGCCCUGGAGGACUGAUGUGGAGAAGGGUUUCGUGUGAACAGCCGUUGCACACGAGUCAGUCGACCCUAAGCCCUAGGAGAAAUCCGAUAUAAACGGCGAUGGGAAACACACUGUUCUGAUUGAAUUAGAGACGACUGCCCAUUGAUCGGGCGAAAGGGAAUCCGGUUCCUAUUCCGGAACCCGGCAGCGGAACCGUUGUUUGUCGGGCCCUCACAAGGGGUUCGUCAGGGCAACCUAAAAGGGCCCGGAGACGCCGUCGGGAGCCCCGGAAAGAGUUUUCUUUUCUGCAUGAGCGUUCGAGUUCCCUGGAAUCCUCUCGCAGGGAGAUAGGGUUUGGAACGCGAAGAGCACCGCAGUUGCGGCGGUGCCCGGGAAUUCCCGACGGACCUUGAAAAUCCGGGAGAGGGCCACGUGGAGGUGUCGCGCCGGCUCGUACCCAUAUCCGCAGCAGGUCUCCAAGGUGAAGAGCCUCUAGUC
rnacentral:rRNA from 1 species